CGUAGGUGGCAAGCGUUGUCCGGAUUUAUUGGGUUUAAAGGGUGCGUAGGUGGCCCUGUAAGUUAGUGGUGAAAUAUCUCAGCUUAACUGAGAGGGUGCCAUUGAUACUGCAGGGCUUGAGUACAGAUGAGGUAGGCGGAAUUGACGGUGUAGCGGUGAAAUGCAUAGAUAUCGUCAAGAACACCGAUAGCGAAGGCAGCUUACCAAGCUGUAACUGACACUGAGGCACGAAAGUGUGGGGAUCAAACAGGAUUAGAUACCCUGGUAGUCCACACUGUAAACGUUGAUGACUCGAUGUUGGCGAUACACAGCCAGCGUCCAAGAGCAAUCGUUAAGUCAUCCACCUGGGGAGUACGCCGGCAACGGUG
rnacentral:rRNA from 1 species